AACGAACGCUGGCGGCGUGCUUAACACAUGCAAGUCGAACGGAAAGGCCCUGCUUUUGUGGGGUGCUCGAGUGGCGAACGGGUGAGUAACACGUGAGUAACCUGCCCUUGACUUUGGGAUAACUUCAGGAAACUGGGGCUAAUACCGGAUAGGAGCUCCUGCUGCAUGGUGGGGGUUGGAAAGUUUCGGCGGUUGGGGAUGGACUCGCGGCUUAUCAGCUUGUUGGUUGGGUAGUGGCUUACCAAGGCUUUGACGGGUAGCCGGCCUGAGAGGGUGACCGGCCACAUUGGGACUGAGAUACGGCCCAGACUCCUACGGGAGGCAGCAGUGGGGAAUAAUGCACAAUGGGCGGAAGCCUGAUGCAGCAACGCCGCGUGCGGGAUGACGGCCUUCGGGUUGUAAACCGAUUUCGCCUGUGACGAAGCGUGAGUGACGGUAAUGGGUAAAGAAGCACCGGCUAACUACGUG
rnacentral:rRNA from 1 species